rnacentral:lncRNA from 1 species
AUCGUUAAAACCCGACCGAAACAGCGGUUCCCGGAAACUGCGUGCUCUUCGCUCCUCCGAUUUUCAUUCUGACCGGCUUCUCUUUUGUAACGGUACGCCAUUUUCGUGAUUCUGUUUUCUUCAAGGAAAAUAUUUGUGUCUUCUUCUCUUUUGGUUGUGUUUCGCUGAGCUUCUUCAUUGCAUUUUCGCCUGAAUAUUAGUGUAAUAUCCAGAACUGAUUCAUGAUUUGGAAAGAAAUUAGGGUUUUUUUGUAAGCGAAUUUUUAUUUCUUAAAAAGUGCAUUAGGUUAUGAAAUUAAUCUACUAAAUUUUUUGAUGCUGGACAUUUACUUGCUAGUGUUCAUUUCUACUGCACAACACUUUUCCUAUCCUGAGUCCUGACCUAGCCAAUUUGAAUAAAUAACUUUGAAAUAUGGAUGAUUUGGUUUAAAAUUAAGAUAUUGGUUUAAGAAAGAUAAAUAAGGUAUUUAUGCAAGUUUUAUUAUUUAUUAUUAUUCAGAGGUUUCCAAGAUGGACUUAUAUCAUCACCAGUGACGGAUGAACUAACAUAGAAUUAGCCGAAAUUAUCAGCUCCUCCAGAAACCACAAUGGGGCUCCUGACCUUGUGCUUGCCAGUUUCCUCGACCCAAGUGAGUGAACCAAAUGUCGGAAAUGAAUCAAUAUCGCCCCUGUAACGAAUGUUUAAGGAAUAACUCUGCUUCUCGUAUUUCUUUUGAAACACUAAUGUCUUUGGCUGAAUUCUAACUCUGGUAUUCGCAGGUUUUUCCAGCUUAACUUUAUACGUGGCUGCACCAUCUGCUACAUUCGUCACCGUCCUGUGGAAUGUCCGGUUAAACGUCAUCCCUCUUUCGUCAAAGUUAAAAAGAGCAAUGAAAGACGGGUAGUUCAGGUCGGAGGAUGGGCUCGAGCAGUUGUAGGUUGAUCUCGUGAUUGUUUGAGUUUGCUCGCGGGUCAAAUUCAUCGAGCAAACAAGAUUCACAAAGUCUUGUGGAGUAGCAUCGUAGACUAGGCCUGGAUCGAGCGCGCGAUUAGGAUCCACAUGCCCUGAUCCAAUGCCUAGAGGCGUGGCGUUACUGUAAUUAAACGCCAUAUCCUUGAUUGGCUGAUUGGUAUUAUCAAGAUGAUUGGCAGUGGUCAUCAUGGCCGAUUGAAUAGCCGAAGGACUCCAAUCGGGGUGUGCUGCUUUGAGAAGCGCAGCAACUCCGGCAAUAUGAGGGCAAGCCAUGGAUGUGCCUGACAAGAGAUUGUAAUCACUCGACAAGAACACGUUCUUACCGAUAACCGGUGCACUAUUAAUACUGUAAGGACUGUUCGCUGCUAAGAUCAGCACUCCUGGUGCCAUUAUGUCGGGCUUCAAUAUCCGGUCAUAGCUUAGUGCAGGCCCUCUAGAUGACGAACCUGAUAGGGCUGGAGCAGCUCUCGGCUCAGUCCCUAUAAUCGUUUGCUGAAAAUCGAUGCUUGCUGUUGGAGAGGUACUACUCGAUGCGUACCUGACCACCUCCACUGAUUGAGCUGGAGUGAUUAUAGCACCGGGAAAUUGAAAAUUAUUGGAUCGAAGUAAGCUUGUGUCAUCGGAAAUAACAAUAACUGCUUGGACAUUGGAAUCCGCCAGAUAGUUCCACAGGAAAAAGAAGAACGGAUCUUCCUCCGUCUUGUUACAGAUGAUUAUGCUGUUGAAUGGUGCUUCCGCCAAUAAUUCGGUUGAGUUGCAGGCAGACAAUGUCUCGUUGUACACAAGGGGCAAGUUUCUGAUAGCUGCUCUUGCGGGAAAAGUGGUCCACCCUGUGAUGGAUUUCCCGUUCCCGAGGGUCACGGUCCCACCGAACCACCGAUCAACAGUCCCCGAUGCAACUUCGACAGCCCACGGCAUUCCUCCUCGCACAGUAGCACCGCUAGGGCCGCCAUUUCCUGCGGCGAAACAAACCAAGACCCCAUGCUCACGAGCACCAAAGGCAGCUACAGCAAUAGGGUUCUCGUAGAGACUGGCCCGCCGAAAAGUAAUCGAAAUUGAGACUAUAUCGACACCGUCAGCCACAGCUUGGUCGAUUCCCGCGAGUACAUCCGAUUCGUAACCUCCGCCGAACAGGACUUUAUACGCCGCCAGCCUGGCACGUGGGGCCACCCCUCGUGCAGUUCCAGGUGCGUAACCGAAGAACGAGACACCCUCGACGUAGUUUCCGGCGGCAGUUGAGGCGACGUGGGUCCCGUGACCAUCGUCGUCCCUUGCUGAAUCGGGGACAGGGGUUUCAGGAAAUGCGGCUCGAGUACCUUGGUUGAAAUAUCUGACUCCGAUGAGUUUCUUGUUGCACAAAGACGAAUUGAAAUCUUGGCCGCCUUGGCAAGUGCCCUUCCACUUUGCUGGGAUAGCGGUCAUGCCUUCAUCACUAAAGCUCGGACUUUCCGGCCAAAUUCCGCCGUCUAAGAUUCCGAUUAUCACAUCUUUGCCGUAGUUGGAUGCCGGCCACAAUCCCGAAGCAGUGUUGAGUGAGAGGAAUUUAUAGGAAUGGGUAGUGGCUGCUGUGACGGCUCCAUCUUCAAAAGCCGAAAGGAAACCCGGUGACUUCUUCAAAGCUUCCAAUUCGUGUUUGUUCAUCACCACACUGAAUCCAUGGAAGGCAUUGUCGUAAGUGUAGAUAAUCUUCAACCCGCGUUCGUCGAGUGAUUUAGCAGAAUUGAGCAUGGAAGAAUACCAAUGAUGGUGGCUCGAAAAUGCCUUUGGCAUGGAGGAUUUGUCCAUGUGGACAAUAUAUGUCGAUCUUUCUGCCGAAACAUCAUCGGCCAAUAGAAAAAUCGAGACAAGAAUUAGAGCAACUGCCAUAAGAGGAAGCAGCUCCAUUGUUUUUUCACUAAUUAGAUCUGAGUUGUGAAUAUGGUAGAUUGGUUUAGACAAGUAGUUAUUAGUACCAUUCUGUUAUAUAAAGAUAUUUGCUGACUUUUCUUUGCUUUUGCCAACCAAUUAUUAUACUUUUUUUUGUUUUUAAAUUCAGUAUAUGUUGCUGUCAUCUUGCCAGCGCAAGUUGAUAAUAUUACAGGAUAAUGCAAAGGGGAUAAAGAAAAAUCCUUGUAUCAUUUUCAAUUACUGUAUGUACCACGUACAUGAUUGGUUUGUAUAGGUGCAUUAGAUUUUAUUUGGACCAUGCAUAUUUCCAAGUACCUAUUACUGUAAAACCUCUCUCUCAGACAUUUCAACAUACACCUUUCAGCAGCAGUGGCUUGAAUUGACUACGAAAUAAUCGCAACAUUCAUCUCUAAAUACAUGUUCGUCUUACACGUAAAUGCGAAUCCUUGAAACAUUUGUCGUUCCAUCAUCAAUCAAGUUUAGCUUAAACUUUAUUUAACCAAUAAGAACUUCACUUUUUAGCGAAGUACCCCUAAAAACUCACUUCUAACAGCGCAAUUUGUUUUCAUUUUUUUUUUUUUUUAAUUUGAAGAAAGUGAAAUAUACAUUUCGUUGGAAUCGAAGUAAGUGAAGAAGAGUGUCAGGUUCUUCAAAAAAUCGCGAGUUCAUUAUAGCGUGAUUCUUUGAUUCUGUAGAAGCGCUGUUGUUUAUCGAUUCUGGGUUCCAACAUUAAUCUUGCAGCACACACGAUAUGCUAAUGUUCGUGCCAUCUGGUAUUUGCAUUUCUGUUUCUCAAGAUUCAUGCACUCAAGAUGUUUGAUUUUUGUCCCAAAAGAACUCCUCUCAAGUCUCAAUCUUUCUCCUCCUUUUUUUUUGUCUUUCCAAUUCACCUUAUGUCCAUUAGUUACGUUAACAAAUCCAUUUUUCUUGUUCCAGCAGACUCUACUCAGUAAAUAUCUUUCUUUUUUUUUCUUUUGAAGUUACUAAGCAAGCAUGCCAUUUUUCUACGUUAGCCAGGAAUUCAAACAAUGUCACGUUGUAUCUCCAAAGGCCAAAGCUGAUUGAUUCAAUGAAGCUGUGUACCCGUUUAAAUGCACCCGAAAGCUCUCCUGUUAACAUCUUUAACAAUCCUUCAAUGGACUCGUUUGUUGUGAUCAAUGCACUUCGGUCAGCUCCCUCGCCCAUCGCAGCCCUCUGUUUGAUCGAAAAUCUAAAAAAGAUAAAAGAUUUUCCUCAUUCCGAAGACACCCUCUAUGCACUGGCCAAGAUUCUUGCUAAAUCCGGAAAAACUAGUAAACUCAGAGCAUUGAUCGAUGCCAUCAAUAAUAGUGGCAAGUUUGUAAAUGUGGCGUAUGUCAGUUUCUUGGAUCGGGUGAAGUGGAAUGCAGGGUGUUUGGGAAGAGUGGAGAAGAGCCUUGGACAAGCUCCCAUGUAACUGCAUCCUAUAAUAUAGUAAUGAAACUUUGUGUUGAGAAGGGCAUGGAAGAAAUGGCAAUAAAUGUAUUCUGCAGGAUGAUCGAUGGAUGGGAGCUCUCGAAUUGUAGAAUCUACAUUAUUAUUAUCCAGCACCUGAUUAAGUUUGAGAAAUUAUAUUCGGCUAUGAAACUAUUUCAAAUGCUACCAUUGAUGCGAUUUCGUCGUACAUCAAAGAAGUAUUAUUCAUUGGUCGAAGUUUUUACAGACUCCGACAAUGUAAAUGUUGCGAAGACUUUACUUAACGAGAUGCGAGCUGACUGGACAUUAAAACAUUCUCCCACUAUGCAAUGCCAUUAUUAUUAUUAAUUUUAGAGGUUUCCAAAGAUCGACUUAUAUCAUGACUAGCGAGUAGCGAGUAGCGACAGAUGAGCUAACAUAGAAUUAACCGAAAUUAUCAACUCCUCCAGAAACCACGAUGGGGCUCCUGACCACGUGCUUGCCAGUUUCCUCAACCCAAGUGAGUGAACCAUGCCUCGGAAAUGCAUUAUUAUCACCCCUGUAACGGAUGUUUAAGGAAUAACUUUGCUUCUCGUAUUUCUUUUGAAACACUAAUGUCUUUGGCUGAAUUCUAACUCUGGUAUUCGCAGGUUUUUCCAGCUUAACUUUAUACGUGGCUGCACCAUCUGCUACAUUCGUCACCGUCCUGUGGAAUGUCCGGUUAAACGUCAUCCCUAUUUCGUCGUUGUUAAAAAGAGCAAUGAAAGACGGGUAAUUCAG